CCACGGACCCACCUCCAACGGCCGCCCCGCGACUGCCGCGGGCUCUCGGCGCAUCCUGUCAGCCCGGCACCACGGCUGGCUGCCGCCCGGCCGGACCCAGCCUCAUCGCGGCUGGGGCCACAACUGUGGGGUGGGGCACUCGGACGUAGUGGCGGCUCUGACAGGGAGUCUCGGAGCUGCUCAUUGCACAGAGGGCCAAGGGUCGCCGGUGCCAGCUCUCCACAGUGAGGGGUGCCAAGAGAAAAGACUGUACUUCUGACGUUAGAGAACAUGGCUCAGGAGGCAAGACAGAUGAUGAUUCUUCUGGACAGAGGACAGAAAUUAGGAGCAGCCUGCCUGGGCUGAGUAAAUGGAAGUGCCUUUCCUCAGCUCCCUCAUGGGGGCAAGAGAUGCAGGUUUCCUGGGCCUGUGAUGGGAACAGCGUCUGGGUUGGGAACAGUUCCACUGAGCAUUGAGCAGACCACCAAUAUAAUAAUACACCGAAGCUGACAAGAUAUUUUCAGACUUGUAAAAAAUAGAAAGUGCAGGAAGACACCUCAGCAACAAGGCAUGUAAGAAGGAGAAGAUUUAAGAGGAAACAAAGGAAAGUUACAUGGAACAGAGAUAUACGCAAGGAAUACGCUGCUACUUUCCAGAUACUCUGAGGCCAGAUUUUAAUGACUAUCUCUGCUCCCCUUUGUAUGUUGCUGCCAGUCUGAUGAGGAAUUUUAAAGAUGAACCUCUGCAUGACAGCUCUUUUGAACUGUAAUAGAUGGAGAGCGUCAGAAGUUGCAGAUCAACACACCUCUAUGGGAAGCACUGAAGUUCCCUGGUCAAUAACACAGAUCUGCUGAAGGAGAGAGCUGCUGCUCAGGACUGGCACUACUCACACGCAUACCGACAGACCAUGACCUUCCUUUUUGCAGAACUGAAGCCUAUUUAUUUGCCCUCACAGUUUCACCUGAAAGCGAGCUGCUUCCGAAAUCUCGCUUGGUCUGCACAGCAGCCAAGGUCUCCCAGCCGAGAGAUCUUCCUUCUGUUGCGGAGGCGCACCCGUAGCCGGGUCUACCGGCUCCCGGCCCCGCUGUACCGUCCUCGCAUGGCCAAGGAGACACGGGCAAUUCUCCGGGGUCGCCGAAGGACCGCGGUCCCACUCGGCCCCCGCAGCAAGCCCCUCCUCACCCGCAUGGCACCCCGCUGCCCACC